UGGGAUCCAUUUCUUGUGGGUGUGAACACUCCCCUGCUUUUGCAAGAAAAGAAAGGGGAAAGUGAUAGAAAACUUCACUAGUUGACUUGUUUAUCUUGGAUAGUUCCUAGUUGCCAAGUUACAACUUGCUUCUGUACAAAUUAUUUGCUGCAAACUGCAGUUUAUGUGUCAAGUUGUUGAAUCUUUUUUUCAUUUUUUUUUUUUUAGUACAAGUAAUAGUCUAAACUACAACAAAGAGAAAAUUUCUCACACAUACACAAUUAAGAUGUCAUAAAAGUUGGAACCUAAGACGUCUUAUCCCAUUGCUCCUCUCUCUUCUAUAUGUUGCUUCACGUGCAACGUCUAAAAGUUUUCUUUGUUGGGUAUAGGAUUUAAAAAUGAUUUGUUGGGCCUAGAGCUUUUUGGGUCGGCCUGAGAAAUACUACGCCUGGACCCAAUAAAAUCUAAAUCCGUUCAAACCCAACCAAAAACUCGAACCCUAUCCAAAACAUUGAUAUUUUCUCAACUUUCUUUUGCCAUUGUUUUUUGGGUUUCUAAACUAUAAGCUUGAAGUUUUUUCGGUUUUUACUUUCAAUUUUUGUUGUAAGUACUAUUUUUAUCCUAAAUUCAAGGUGUAUAUAAACUAUAAGUGGGCUCCCCCUUCCCCUCCCUGCUUGACACCCAGGAUCGAAAUCCCAAAGGGUUUCUUUCCUCCCAAUGUAACUUUAAAAAAAAAAAAGUUGUUUGAAUCAUAUUUUAAAAUGAAUGUUUUGAGGAUUUAAUAUGUUCAAUAUUUCCUUUUAACAUUCGAAAUAUACUAAGAUAGUGUUAAGAACAUCAGACAUAUUUUAUAGAAUAUUUGAGCACAUAUCCUUUUAAAUUUGUAACUUUGGCAUCAUAUUUUAAUCAAGCAAGUUGUAGCUAAUUUUUUAUCUUAUAAAAAAAAAAAAAAAAAAGUUGCGAUCCAAAAAAACUAAGGGAAUCAACUUAUGACAUUCCUCACCACGCCAAAACCAAAUAAUAUUCUAGACGGCAUGGCAGAAACAGGUAAAACUCAGAAUAGAUGUAUUAUAUGAGUUUUACUACUCACCUGAGCAGUGUCAUUCUCAGCAAGGCUUCGACGGACACCCUCCCCAAAAAGAUAUUCGCCGGAAAAAGCAUCGGCCACGCAAGAAAACAUAACCAAGGCAGCAAAGCCUAGAGGAAUAACACCACCAUUGAGGCCCAUGAUGUCAGAUAUUCUUGCAUUGGCCAUAUUGGGGUGGCCUCUGUAACAUAGAAGGACCUCAAGGAAGAACCCAAGCCCUUCUAUGUAGGGAUUUUGUUUCUAAAAAUCCUUUUCAACUAUGGAAAUGCAUGCCUCUAUAUAACCAUUGCCAUGUUUGUCUGUCCUGCUUCUCUCUGCCUAAAAAUAGCCCCUCUACAUGUCCAUUUUUAGAAGCUCCCAACGGAAAACUAUCCAGAAAAAGAUGAUGAUUAUUUCUAUGUUUAGUUAUGUCCUUAACUUCUGGCAACCUAGUCUUCUCUGGAAUAGCAAAGCGAAUACCUUUUUUUAGGGAAAAUUGGGUGCUCGAGCCCAAACAAAAGAGAAUUUCUACAAAAUAAAUUAACAAUUUUUUUUCUUUCUAUUAUUCCUAUUAUACCUUGUUUCACACACUAUGUGACGAUUUCCUUUUUAUAUUUAAAACGGGUUGGACCAGAUUUUUAUUGGUAGCGGAAGUUAAAUUUUUAUUGGGACCAGAUUUUUUAUAUAAUCAAUCCACAAGUUUAAAAUGUUGUUUAUCAAUAGCCUUACACGAGUUUCACAGAGCAGCUAAAUUCAAAAACGCAACUCCCCUUUUCCAUCAAAGGGUACUUUCAGCAAUGGUGAUACGAAGUUACCAAGAGUCCAUCCCACGUAAAAACGACAAAGUUAAUGGGGAUAUUCGGAUGCAGUGCGUGUAUUUCUAAUUUGCUAUGGAUUUUAGACUAUUUUUAAUAGGGUUUUGUUUUCUAUUUAUUGUAAACUUGCAGUCCAUAAGCUUAUGAGUAUAUAUAAAUAGGAUUUUUGGGGGCCAGGUUAAAGUGAGAGAGAUCACAAAGGCAUCAAAUUGGGUUUGAGUUUCCUCCAGUACUGAUGAAUCUCUAAAUGAUGCUGAUUGAUAUCAUGAUCUCCAAAUGACGGUUAUGUGGGACAUUCGGAAUAUAUAUGUCGCCAAGGCUUGGGCGACAUGCAAGUGUAACAGCUUGCGUGUAUAGCUUGAGGAUGUGGGCUAUCGUGGACGCUAAAGGAAUGACCAACAGAAGUGUGGGUAAACCGAUGGUGUGUUGGAUCGCUAUGUCUUGACAUGGACAUGAGCGAGACAUGAGGAAAGCAUGCGACGUGGUCGAUGCAGUUGACGUGUCUUAUGCAACGCUUGAUGUAUGGGCGUCAAGGGUUCGUUGCCGGAUGCGGGAUGAUUGUAUUGUCAUACGGUAGUGUGACUCGUUGUCUAGUGGAAGACGACACUUGAAGGUAAACCUCUCGCGGAGUUGUGAGAGUCAUGAAUAUCAUGAAAGGGAGAAGGCUGACCAGGAUUCGAAGGGAUCCUGGGCCGCACGGGUGUGCUUUGAGUGGCGAAAUGUGUGUUUCGCUUCCGCCGCGCCGCGCCGCUCGCUCAUCCCGUGACAAGUGGUAUCAGAGCGAAAGCUCUAGUAGUUCAGAGAAGGAUGUCGAAGAACUGAUCGAUUCAGAUGGUGGUUUCUGUGUGAGAGAUUCGUACCUAGAAGAGAUUGGUGAUGAGAAACUUUGAUAGCCAGGUAGCAAGUCAUUACCUGUGAUGGGUAGUGGACUUGUGAAGUUGGAUGAAGAACCCAACGUCACUGUAGAUGAUUGUUGGAAUCAGGUUGUGUGACGGUUGAUGGAAACCCGUCUUGGUGCUGGAUCCUACGGAAGGGUGAAGGUAUCCAAAAGUUUGCCUCGAAGUUUUGAGAAGACAUCAAGCAGAAUGACUCUAAGAUGUGGGAUGAUGGUUGGUGUUGCUACUCGGUUGCCUAGUUUUCUAAUCCGUGCACCAAGCGCCCGGAAGUCGGGUAGGCAGGGGUACUGGCUUGUGAAGUGAUGUAGCUUGUUCAGUUCAGGAUGUGGGGAGGAUGGGAGCGCGAGUUUGGUGAGAGUGUUGAAGAUUGACUAGCACUCGAACCGUGGCAUACCAUUGAAGGUUGUGACAAACUUUGUUGGUAACAAGUGUUGAGCAGACGGUGCGAGACCUUUGUUCAGGGAAGAUUUGUGAGGGCUGAAGGCCGAAAGGGGGCUGCCUUGUAAGGAAGUAAGUCACUGACGGACUAGGCUCCGUUGAGGGAGUAAGUUGCUGAUGGACUAGGCUUUAAUGAAGGAGUCGCUCGAGUGGUUGCUCUUGCAAUUGUGGAGAACGUGUGGGUGAAGUGCAAUGUUUGACACAAGGUUGCUGACUAAUAUUCGGAAUGCAGGAGUGUUCCAAAAGUGGAUCCCAGAGUCUUUCUUGCGAAGAUGGUGGCUAAGGACACAGUACGUCCGCACUUGAUGGGAGGCCAAAGAUGAAGUAACUUAAGGGAGGAUGUCUUACUUGGUCCCUUGUGGAUGCUAUAGAAGUAUGUUCUACCGAGUUCAGGUUUGGGCGAUGUUAGGUGGUUCUACUUGUAGUAGGGAUGACAUCAAACCUUGGUGAAGUGUGAAGGCCUAAAGUGUAGUAGAGCUUCACUUCGGAGGCACGUUGACGAGAUAAGUGGGGGAGACCCACGAAUGCCAUUGAGGUAUGGCAGCGCACAUGCGCAAGACAGAUGCUACAGAAGUAACUGAGGGAGGAUGUCUUACUUGUUCCCUUGUGGAUGCUACGGAGGUAGGUUCUACCGAGUUCAAGUUUGGGCGAUGUUAGGUGGUUCUACUUGUAGUAGGGAUGACAUCAAACCUUGGUGAAGUGAGAAGGUCUAAAGCAUAGUAGAGCUUCGCUUUGGAGGUAUGUUGAUGUGAGGGUGCGUCGACGAGAUAAGUGGGGGAGACCCACGAACGCCAUUGAGGUAUGGCAACGCACCUGCACAAAACAAGUUGAGAAGCCUUGGAGGGGACACAGUUGACAAAGUGAUGUUGCGUGUUCCGGGCUAAGGUUUGAGGAAGAUGGCAGUGUGAGUUUGGUGAGAGUGCUGGAGGUAGGCUAUACUCGAACCAUAGCAUGUCAUCGACAAUUGGGUUGAAUUCAGUUGGUGAUGAGUGUUGAACGAAUGGUGCAAGACCUUGUUCGGGGAAAAGUUGUGGAAGCUCAAGACCGAAAUGGUGCAGUCUUCGAAGGGAGUAAGUCGCUGAUGAACUAGGCUCCAUUGAGGGAGUAAGUUACUGACGGGCUAGGCUUUAGUGAGGAAGUCACUUAAGUGGUUGCUUUUACAAUUGUUGAGAACAGGUGGGAGAGGCACAAUGUUUGACAUGAGUUUGCUAAUUGAUAUCCGGAACGAUGGAGUGUUCCAAAAUAGGGGGAUCCCGAAAUCUUACUUGGAGGCAUGGUUGCUAAGGACAUGGAGUAUGUCCGCACUUGAGGGCAGACAAAGUUGGAGUAACUUGGGGGUUGACAUCUUACUUGUUCCUGUGUGGAUGCUAUAGAAGUGGUUCUGCCGAGUCCGAGUUUAGGGCGUUGGUAGUCAGGUGGUUCUACUCGUAGUAGGGAUGAUGUUUGACCUUGGUGAAUUGUGGUGGCCUAAGUGUUGUGGAACUUUGCUAUGGAGGCACCCUGAGGUGAAUGGUGUGCCGACGAGAUAAGUAGGGAAGAACCUUGAAUGCCAUGAAAGGUAUGGCGGUGCAGAUGCACGAAAUAGAGGUGCCGUGGAGGACACACGGUUGUCUUGCGAGUCACACCCAAGCGGGGUGCAUCUCUUUGAAUGUGGAAAAUGUGGAAGUGCUUGACCAACGAACUAUGUGAUUGUUCAAAAGGUUGAGUGCGACAAGAGACAGAGGUCUCGGCCCAAGAAUAGGGAAAGGAGAACAACUUUGAAAGAGAAAGUUGAAAAGGGUUAAGGCAGUGGUGCUUUGUGGUCCUUGGAGCGAAGAGAAGAGGAUACUCCUAUAUGGUGUUGUUAUGCAGCGAUGCAAUGGGCAAGUCGACGAGGACGUCGCCAUUAUCAGUGGGGGAGAAUGUCACGGAUCGCACAUAAGUGAGUGCUAUCGUGAUUCCGAAGUCGGCAGUGCAGUGGGGCACGUCGACGAGGACGUCGACAUUAUCAGUGGGGGAGAAUGUCACGGGUCGCAUUUAGACAAGUGCUACCGUGACUCCGUUGGGACAUCUAUGCGCCUAUGAAGUAGUCUAAGUGUGGACGGGCGAUAGCUUAAGAGCUAGAAUGGUUGGUGUUGGCCAAGUUGCACUUGUGAAGGGUAUUUUGGGUAUUUCCGAAGGUUACGAGAGGAACCUGAGGGAACCAAGAAUACCGAAAUGUUCGUGAUGUCGAGACGCAGGAAACGCAACUGACGGUUCGCCAUUCGGAGUUCGUAUGAAAGAGUUAUGCCCAAUUAUGACUCCUCGUGCAUAGGUGAUGUUUCCUCCUGGCAGAAGGCUAAAUGCAUAAAAUGCUAUAUAGGGGGUGACAUGGUGUCAUGCUCUCCACCACCCCUGGUGCUUACACCCUUGUGGCACUAAGCGAGCAUCCUUAUGACAUUGGAGAUAGUCAUGAGGGCGGGCAUAAGAUUGUUGAAGGAUAAUCUGUGCCUCCGAGGGAAAGGAAUUCCCGAGGACAGUACGAACACGCAGGGCCGUUCGUAUUGCGCAUCGUUGGAAAGAGUGAGGUCAACGUAUGGCAUUCGCUAUGCCAUCGGCUAGCGAGGCAUAUGACAAUACUCGAUGGACUUGGCUUGGGUUCGGCCUUGUCUAAUAUUGAAGGACGAUAUUCGGAUGCCGGUACGCAUGGGUUGCGACCUCAUGCAAUGCAUAGACGGUUAUGUGGGACAUUCGGAAUAUAUAUGUCGCCAAGGCUUGGGCGACAUGCAAGUGUAACAGCUUGCGUGUAUAGCUUGAGGAUGUGGGCUAUCGUGGACGCUAAAGGAAUGACCAACAGAAGUGUGGGUAAACCGAUGGUGUGUUGGAUCGCUAUGUCUUGACAUGGACAUGAGCGAGACAUGAGGAAAGCAUGCGACGUGGUCGAUGCAGUUGACGUGUCUUAUGCAACGCUUGAUGUAUGGGCGUCAAGGGUUCGUUGCCGGAUGCGGGGUGAUUGUAUUGUCAUACGGUAGUGUGACUCGUUGUCUAGUGGAAGACGACACUUGAAGGUAAACCUCUCGCGGAGUUGUGAGAGUCAUGAAUAUCAUGAAAGGGAGAAGGCUGACCAGGAUUCGAAGGGAUCCUGGGCCGCACGGGUGUGCUUUGAGUGGCGAAAUGUGUGUUUCGCUUCCGCCGCGCCGCGCCGCUCGCUCAUCCUGUGACAUUGCUACGGUUAAUAGCUCUUUGUAUUUUCCAAAAUAGUCUCAGUAAAAGUAAUAUGUAUUAUAUAUAUAUAUAUUGUACAAUUGUAUCCGAGAAUAAUAUCAAGAAAUCACAUUCUUUACAGGAUGUGAGAGAAAUUGAGAUCACGAAAGGUGUUUUUAUUACUAGUGAAAUUUAUCGGGGCGAUGCAUGCACAAGUAUUCUUAUAGGUGUGUGUGUGUGUCUGUCUUGGAGUCUUCCACACUACAAGUAGGAUCAGAACUGCAUUAGCAGCAGGUGCUGGCUUAUGCCCAAGUAUUCUUAUAGUUUUAAGGACGUUAGUGUGUUGGAGAUGAUAGAGCUAAAGCAACAGCCAUUCACCGGCAAGGAGAACUUUACACUAUGGCAAAGAAGGAUGAGGAACACCCGAGGCCAACAAGGUCUCAGUGUUGUCUUGGCAGGCAAAGACAUGAAGCUGGAAACCAUGACAUCAGAGGAGUGGGACAUGGUCGAUGAGUUGGGUAGGGGUUCGAUUGAGAACUAUAUAUAUAGCUGAUGAGGUAUGUUCAAUAUGAUUGAAGACAUUGCGAAGCAAAUAUUGAAAAGCUCAAAUAUAUGUAUGUAGGAAGGUCACUUUCAAAAAAACCUUUUCUUGAAGGAUGAACUCCUAAAUCUUCGAAUGGAAGAGGGUGGAGAUCUCUUGGAGCAUUUAAACACCUUUAAUAAGUGUGUUGCAGACUUGUAGAGAAUGGAAGUUAUGUAUGAUACGGAAGAUAAGGCUAUUUUUGUCUUGAGAUCCUUACAUUCAUCAUACAAGCAGUUCAAGACAACGCUUAAGUUCAGCAAGAGCACGUUCAAAUUUGAGGAGUUUGUGAAAGAUAUUCUCUUCCAUCAUAGGAUAAAUGAUGAGAAGAGCUCUCAAGUUGAAGGUCUAGUUGCAAAGGUCGGUGAGAGGGAUCGUUCAAGUAAGCAUGAAGGUAAGAAAGGUAACAUGAGUAGGUUAAAAUUCAAGGCUAAAGAUGGUUGUUUUGAGCGUGGGUCAAAAGAACACUAGAAGAAGAAUUGUCCCACAUGGAAAGAGAAGAGGAACAAAGGGGAAGAAAUCAGCGGGCACAGUGGGGGUUGUUAUGGAUAUCAAUGGUGAGCUUUUGUGUUGUUGAUAAAACUAAUAGUAAUUUAUUUUCUGUAUCUUCUUGGAGAUUCUCUUCUUGCUGGAUUUUGGAUUCUGGGUUCUCAUAUAGUAUGUGUUCAAACAAGGAGUGUCUUUACACAUACGAGAAAGUUGAUGGUGUUGAAGUUGUGAUAAUCAUAGUCUGAAAUAUCGAUAAUAUCGAGGAAAUAUCGAGGAUAUUUCGGUUUUUUUGAAUCACGGAUAUUUCGGAACAUAUCCAUGUACAUAUCGUAUAAAUAUCGACAAUAUCGACGAUAAUAUCGGAAAAUAUCGAUGUCGAUAAUUUCGCUCACAUUUCAGCAAUAUUUUGUCAAAAUAUUGGUGUAAUAUCGCUAAAAUAUCGAAAAUAUCGAUAUGAAGGAAAAAAAAAGUUAUUAAAAAAAAUAAAAUAAAAAAAAGGAAAAAAGGGGAGAAAAAAGCACAAAGGGGAUAUGAACCCCUCCCAUUUUACUCCUCCAACACCUUAAACACCAUAUCACUUAUGUUUUUGUGAUAAUAUGCUAAAAUAUUUAUAUUUAUAUGGGUGGUAUGUUAACAAUUACAUGCAAAACUAUUUUGGGGAUUUAUUAUUUGAUGACUACUCUUCACAAUACACUUACUCUACACAUAGAAAUGAUGAAGAUAGUGAAAAAUUUGAACCUCGUAUGAACUCUAUGUGGUACUAAGUCAUUCAUGUAUCUUACCAUGCAAUGUAUAAAGUGUAAAAUAUUAUAGUAAAUUAUUAUAUAUGAAUGAUUACGGUGUAUUUAAUCUUUUUUCAUUAAUUAUUACAUAUUUUUUACACUCAUAGUGUUUGCCCGCUUGCUGUAUAAUCAACUUAAAUUAGUUAAAUCCAUCAUGCAAUGCAUUUCCUUCUAAUUUUUUGUGAUAAACUCAUAGAUAAUUGACUAAAUUGACAUUCUCCAACGUUUCAAUAAAAAUUUCCAAGUUUUUCUUACAAUUUCCGUGGUUUUUAUUCAAUUUUUAUCGAUAUCGAUAAUAUCUCGAUAUUUCCAUCGAAAUUUCCAUAUUUUUGGACUACCGAUAUUUCCGAUAUCAUCGAUAUUUUAGACCUUGGUGAUAAUGGACGACUCAGUUUGUAAAGUCGAGGGCACAUGUACGAUUAAGCUAAAGAUGCAUUAUGGCAUUGUUAGGACAUUGAGGAUGGUAAUAUAUGUUUCAAGUUUGCUUAAGAAUCUAAUUUCCCUUGGUACUUUUGAUAAAAAUAGUUACAUGUACAAAGCCAUGAGAGGGAAAAUCAUAGUCUCGAGGGGAAUAUGAAAACAUUACAAAAACAACCCAGCCACAAGGGGCGGGAGAGGAAGAUGUUACGUAGUGGUGGGUGGUUAUUUUGAGAGAUGGAGAUGGGGCAUAUGGCUGGGGCUGGUGGGUAAAACAAAAUAUUAUUUUAUUAAUUUCUAUUUUUAUUUUUCUAAUUUGUAAAAAAAUUUAGAUAAAUUGAAGGUAAUAUGAAGGUCAAUAUAUUUAAUAAUAGUAAUCUUGGAAAAUAAAAGCUUUGCAUUAAUGACAUUGUUUUAGUACUAAGAAAGUGACACAUGGCAUGAGGAGAAGGGAGAAAGUCAAAAAUAGAAAGUUAGAGAGAAGGUUGCUAGCCGAUUCAAAGCUUAAGGGGCAACAUUGGAACAAAAAAUGAUUUUUAAAAAUAAAAAUAAAAGAUUACAUCAUAAAAUAUUUAAAAAGGAAUGUAUUCCUAUAUGGCACAAAAGUCAAAGAACUUGUAUCAAAGUCGCCAAAUUCGAAGAUUAAACCCAACUUAUCAAUGAAAAUUUAGAUCUAUAUCAACUUUUCCAUUUUUUUUUUUAUGUACUCGACAACAUAGAAAUGUCAGUUGUUCAAUGUGUCCACCUUCUUACACCCAAGUUUGAAACUCUCUCAAAAGAUUAUAGUAGUUUAGAGUAGUUUAAAACUAUCGCUCGUGUCCAAAAGCAUUUCAGUUACAGAAGCUUCCAUGCUCUACCUCCAUCCAUAUUGAAUUUUUUAAGUCUUCCGAAAAACAUAACUGCUAUGAGAACUAAUUUACCCUGAUCACUCCAUCUUCCUGAAAAUCCAUACCAUUUGUCCUGGCAAUCGCCAUUAGGAUGGAUCUGUCGUUUACAACUAUAGCCAGUAGUAAACCCUACAUUUCCAUAAGCGCUGCGGGAAACAAAAUAUAAUGGUAAUAAAUUAGCGAAAUUGCAAAGGGCAAAAUGCAUUGCAAUAUUUUAAAAGAAAAUUAAACCAAAUAACACAAGUAACAAAAUCUCAGUUGUAAGCAGUAUUGGUGGAGCCCUUCUUUUCAAAGAAAUACUCAAGAAGGGUUACUGAAGAUUUAUCGGGUUUCAUAUGUCUGAUUUACCUGAUGACUUCAAUCACGAUAUUCAACACAUUGAAAUUGAGGGGAUCUUCCUUCAUCUGUUUCCUCUCAGUUAUGCAUACUAGGACGAUAAAGAUGGCCAGAUACGAGAGCUGUGAGAAUAUGAGAUUCUCCACAACCUUUCCCCUUCUCGUUUUCCUCCUUUCCUGAGGUUGUAGAGGAUUUUGAUCAUCAUCUUUUAUGGGAAGGAACGAAGUGUAAGGAGGAAGGUACCUUCGAUUAAAACAAGAAUCAUUAUCAGAUAAAGGAAAAAAAAAGAAAGCUCAUGAUUAAUAAUAUAUAUAUAUAUAUAUAUAUUCUAAAUUACUCUAAUUUAAAAGGAGUGGGGAUUUGAACUCGGGUGCAAGGGACUGUCCUAACUACUUGGCAUGGUUUCAAAGUUUCAAGGCUACGUGUAGGGGACCUUAAUUCAACAGGGGAUCCAUCUAGUUCCAAUAAAAACUGAGUUGGGAUGUGUCUGUUAGUUGUGUCAUUGAUGAGAUGAGAUUCAAAUAUUUAAGAGAGAGAGAGAGAGAGAGAGAGAGAGAGAGAGAGAGAGAGAGAGAGAGAUAGAGAUUGAAAGAAGCAUGUGAUGUCUUUAGUUAGUGGCAAACUAAGGAACCAACAAAACCUAAACCAAAACUCAUCAUCUUCUUCUAUAAUUCUAGUAGAAAUGCAUGUGGGUCCCUUUCCCCUAGGCCUAGGCUGAGUUGGUGCCUCUAAGUGAGGAUCUUCACCUGCUAGCAUAUGCUUAUUUAAUAUUUCAUUUUCUUUGCCUCUUUUGGCAACUUGGCUAUGAAGACUAGUUUUUUUUUUCAUUCAUUGUUUUUUUGCCCUUGUCAUCCACAAUGUGUUGAAAAAGAGCUAACUAGUCCAACAUUUUCUUGUUUACUAACUAGUUUAACACUCUUACAUAUUGGGAUUAAUUUUCUGUUCAUCUACUUCUGUGUGGAUCAAUUUUAUAUUAAUGAAGUUUUUUUUUUUUUUUUGGAGGCUAAAAAUCAUUAAGUUCCAUGUACUAAAAACUGAAAUUUGGUGAAUCACAUGAUGAUGAUCAUGCGAUAAUUAGUAUGUCACAAAGUAAUAAAAAUAAUUUUUAUGACAGUCUAAUAUGUUAUAUUAUAAAAAUUAUGAUUAAUUAUAAUAAUCAUAGGACUAUAGAUGUAAACGUGAUUCUAUUUAACUAAUAAUUAUUAUGAUUGGCAAUUGGACAGCAAACAUGUUUGUCAAACAAGAAGAUUUUUCACACUUGUAUGUAUGUAUAGAUAAUAAAUAGAUAGAUGCAUGGAUGGAUGGAUGGAAAGAGAAAGAAACUAACAUCAUCACGACGAACAAUACCAAGAUGGCCGGAGAAAUGAUCGAGAGGUCGACAAUAGUUUCACCGGUAUGUCUUGAAUUCACACUUUGAAACAAAGCGCCAAUGAUUUUCUGGUAAGAAUUCAGGCCACUUAAGCUGUCUGAACUCCACUCCAAGGACAAAAAUGCUACCAACUGUACCAUGAUGAACCCGAGAACUGUGACAACCAAAAGUGAAGAAUGGAGACUUGGAAGCAAGUGGAGGAACCCAAGUUUCCUUGUGUUCUUCAAAAGGUAAUUACAUAAGUGUUCUUUCUUUUUGAAAAUUUUCCCCAAAACCCAAAUCGAAAAUCUCAAGCAUGAGGGAAGCAAUGUGUUGCCCAAAAGGACUUGAGGAAUGAGAAUGAGGAGGAGGCCUGUGUUUUUGCUGAAGACCAUCAUGUUUUCAUUGGUUGGAACAAAGCCACAGCUUGAGAAGGUUGAAACUGUGGUGAAGAAAGAGAAUGUGUGCAUGUUUAGCUCCUUGUUUUUUAGUAUGUUUCUUGCACUUGAAAUAACUGCUAGAUAAAGUGAAACCAUUAGCACCCCAAGACCAUGAAUCACUAAAAGAUAACCUACAACCACGCAACCCAAAAACUUGAUUGAAUUAAACUUCAAAGAUUCACCAUCUAAUGGUUUAUCAAUUUGGUCCUGAUCAUAAACCUCCACACCCAAAUUUAAGUCUUGGAAUUCAGGCUUGGAUGCCAAUGAGCCCAAUUCAACAUGAUCAAAAACAAUAUUAUUUGUGGGUGUUGAUGAAGGACUAAUAUCACUGCUGGCUGAAGCAACUUUUUCUUUUGUUAGCAGCAUGAGCUUGAGCUUCCACAGCUGAAGUCCAACCAUGGAGGUAAAGACCUCCCCACCUAUGAACAUCAAAAUGGUUAAAAUGAUGAGCUGGGCAUUGGAGAAAACCUCCAUUUCAACAGUGGACAUGCUAGAAACAGUUGAGGCAGAGACAGAGGUGAAAAACAAAUCUAAAUUCCUAGGCCGAAAAGAAGGAUCGGUUCUUGGCUUCAAAGCCUUGAGAACCCAAAAACCAAGAAAGGAGAGGGUGACAAAAUAGACUAGCUCGAUCCAAAAUGGCUUUGCCCUACGGAGGACGAACCGAUAAUAACAUACAAGUAGAAAACCCAUGGGUUUGCUAAGACAGGCUAGUUUGAGAAAUGAACAACUACAAAGAUGUUGCAAUUUCUUGCCAAAACAAACUAAGUUGUUCAUCUUUGCUUAGUAAUUGAUUUGAAGGAAACGUUCGUGCGGCAUAUGGUUGUGCGUAUAGGGUGGGGUUUUAUAUAUGAAGGAAACGUUCUUGAUGGAGUUUUUUCUCGUCUUUUUUCUUAUUUAUUUAAAAUUGAACACUAACUUGAAUUCAAAAUUUCCUCGAAAGCAGUGAAUAUUUCCUCGCAAACAACGAAUACUUGAGCCAUUAUAUGUCAAAUGAUGAUUGAUUUCUUUGUAGAAUUUUAAGACACGUGGAUGAGAAACAAAAUAAAAAGAAUAUGCUAUAUGUGUGUGAACAUUACGGGUUGGUUUGAGAUUGUUUCUUUAGAAAGUACUUCUGCGCAUAAGCACUUUUAUUAUAAAUUUUUUGAAUUUUCAUACAAAAAAACCCAAGUGCUUCCUAGAAAAGUAUUUAGAAGUGCUUCUCCAUUAAGUGCUUCUAAACUUUUCUGUCAAACGCUAUUAUAAAUGCUUUUAAUUGUCAGAAAGCACUUUUAGCCUCACUCCCAUACACGUCUAACAAUAUGCAUGCAAUUGAGGGGGUGCUAUAGGGUAUUACUAUAUCCAAAACUUACAAAUAUAAAACUGAAUGAUUGAGGAAAUAAUAGAGGUUCACGUGGAGUAAUUUUUAAUUUUUUUUAAUAUCGCAGGUUCUUUCAUUUGAUCAAAUAUUAAUGUAACGGUGCAUCAUCCAAUUGUACGACUUGGUCCAUUGCAUAAAACAUGCAUAUUCAUAUAUAGUACAUCACAACAUGAAUUUUGAUGAGACAUGUUUACAAAUUUUAUUGCCAUAUUCAUAGAAGAUAGUUUUUUAUUACCAAAUCACGUAGUUGUUAGGGAUAUCUCUCUCUCUCCCCCCCCCCUUCUCUCACACACACACAACUUGUCUAUCUUAACCGUACAAGAGCAUAUACUAUAUGCAUACGACGUGCGAAAAACUAAACGCAACGCUUGAGCAUCCAACAUCCCGCUUGAGCCUCCAGAGCACAUAAUCAUUUCAUGUAGCAUCACACCUCUAAAAGCCAAAUCACUAAAGCAAGUAAACCAAGUUUGAAAACCCCCGAAACUUGACCCUCUCAUCUCUUGAAAUAUACUCUGUUGUGCCACGACUAUGUGGCACACGUAGGGCUAGGCAUCUCUACCGAGAAACCUAUCAAACCGGACUAGUUGAAUUGAUUUGGUCCGAUUUUCUUUAUUUUAUUUUUUAAAAAUUAAGUUGUGAACCGGAUUGAAUUGGAAUCUAUUGUUCAAUUCACAGUUUGGCUUUUCUCAAACCGCAAGUUCACCUAAACUGAACCGGUCAGUUUGAAAUAUUGAACUUUUAUAUAAUUUGUGAUAACAAUGGAGUCGAACCCUUAUCCUUCAUAUUGAACUUUUCCUUGAUGAAAUGUGGGUUGACUUUACUGUUUCUUGUACGGCCAUGUUGCACUAGAUUGUGUGAAAUAUCAAAAGCGAACUUAUUAUCACAGUGUAUACUCAUGGUUUUUCUCGGGCUCGAAUCUAGAACCCUCAACAAACUCUUUAGUCAAAGUAACUCAGGAACUCCAUUGAUCUAACUUUGAUUCAAUCGUAUACACAUCCAAAUAGCAUAAAAUUUAUUGUAAAUUAUAGGCACACAAUUGAAUUAUCUGGAUAGGUACAUUAUUAUAAGGUACAUCAUUGAACUAUCUAAACCAUGCCACAAAUACAACGUAAGUCCAUUAUCAAAAUAAAACAUAUAUAUACACAUAUAAUAUGUGAGUUUAUACAAAUCAGCUCCGUUAUUAGUUGGUCACUGGGUCCCUUGUGUUCUUAAAUGAUGCAAUGUCAUCAUCAUGUGCCCCGAGUUCUUUUUUUUUUAUUUAAUAAAUUCUAUGUGAUUGCAUAAUUCAGUUAAAAAAGUCAUUAGCCACAAAGAGCCAAUACAAACUAGCUACAAAAUGGCCAUUACAAUAACGGAGCGGUCUAAUAUCAAAAUUAAGAAAAUCUGGUAUGUCUCCACUAACAAUCAGGCAUGAUCGAAGAAAUUUUGGCAUAGGCAUCCCAAAUAAAUUGCAAACUUAGAAUAAUAAAAAAAAUGAUAAAGCUUGAAAAAACCAAGCCAUAACAAUACAAAUAAAACUCUCACCAAGGAGAGAUGAAAAGCUCUCACAAAUGAGAGAUGAAAAACUCUCACAAAAGGAGAGGUGAAAACUACACAGAGAACCCAAAGAGUCUUUGCAACUUAUUCCAAACAUAAAGAAAUUGUAAAAAAGAUGGUGGUGGAGAUCCGACGCCGAAAUGCAGGUGAAGAUCCGACGCUGAGUCACAACCGCUUAUAAUGGUUGGAUGAAAAUCAUAAAAAAAAAACUAAGACAAAUAGGGAAAAUCUUUUGUCUCUGAAAAUAGGGGAAGAGGUGAAAGGAGGAAGAGAGGAAGAGAGGAAGAGAGGAAAAGAAGAGGGGAGUACUAUAAUUUUGACCAACUAUAUGUUUUGAUCAUAAACAAACAAUUAUAGUACCACGGUAGUACUAUAAUUUGACCAACUAUAUGUUUUGAUUUUCUAGCAAGUUUUUCAACGUCUCUCUCUCAAUUUGGUGGCAAUGGUUUCAGCCACAUUUAUGCAGUCUAAGUUUAUGCAAGUUUGUAGUUUGUAGUCUAAUUUAGACUUAACAGUGUUAAAUUGUAAUUAAUUAAAUGGAUAGGUGUCAAAAGUUAAAAAUUAAAUUGUCGUAUCUUGAAUCAUUAGAUUAUUAGAAUGAUUUAGAUGUCUCGAAAUGCGGGUAAAUAUACAACGUUUAAAUAUAGAGGUUCGGGAUCUCUCUAUGAGAAUUUUAGUUUUAUUUUUUCUUUUUAAUACAACAUGAGUCAUUUAAUACAAAUUUUCGCCCGUAAAUUUUUGGAAUAUGUUAACUGAUCUUAUUGUAUAUCAUAUCUUCCAUGUAGUGAGAUUCAAUACAAGGGAUACUUGUAGUUCAAUUGAUUAAAAGUAUUUACCUUUAAACUUGAUUAAAAUACUAAAUUUGAUUUCUACCUUUCCUACUGCUUGUAUCAAAAAAAAGGUGAGACCUAGCUAGAUAAAUUCCAUAUAUAUAUUAGAGCAAUGAUUGAAAUAAUUGAUGAUUGGAAUAAUUUAUUUCUGCAGUUUCAUUCAGAUUAAUCUGAUGACAUAUAUAUAUAUAUAUACAGAGAGCUUCCAUUGAGGGAUCCCUCAAAUAAGCUUAUUUGAGGGACACCCCUUGUAGGCCCCACUCCGGAUUGUAUUUCACUAAUCCAAACCGUCUAUUUUGUAGAUACUCAUUCAAAGAUCAUCCCUACAAAAAAUCACUUGAAUCCGAUAUCAUUUGACCACUCAAUUAAGUUAUUGAAAUUUUAGCAUUUUCUUGAAGUACCGUGUUCAUUGAUUUUGUAAGAUACAAUUGGAUGUCGAAACGGUUUCCGAUUUGUCUAAUUUUUUGUUAGGAUGAUCUAUGAAUGAAGACCUAAAAAAUAGAUGGUUUGGAUCAUUGGGAAAAAAAUUGUAGGGUACCCUAAAGGGCGUCCCUCAAAUAAUUUUAUUUGAGGAAUCCCUCAAUAGAAGGGGACUAUAUAUAUAUACAACUCAACAGCAAUAAUUAGUUAUUUUCAACUUCAUAUCUGAAACUUCCUAGCUAGUAUGCAAGAUUUUUAUUUUGUUAUCGAAAAACCUGGAAUGUUUUAAUAUUGCAAAUCAUUUUCUUUUUUUGGGUUUGGGAUUUGAAGCUAAGACUCUUUUUAGUGAGCAUCAUGUUUGUACAUGUGGCGAAAGUAAGGGAAAAUUCAAUGGAUAAGAAAUUAUCCUAUCCAUUAACUAAUAAUUGAAGACUGCGGUAGUAAUUAAUAUAUAAAAUGGUAUUAUUCCCACUCCUAGUUCGAUCACCAUGUCCCUUAAUAAUAUUUUUUUAAUUGAAAAUUAUAAGAAAUUAUAUAUUGGAAUUUUCAAGCCGUUUAAGAAUGCUUCUAUAAGAAGUACUUUUGAUAAUAAGCAAUUCUACUUAAAGCGGUUUUAUAAGAAGCACUUUCCAAGUAUUUUUAUUGAAUGGCGUAUGUAGAGCAUGCGUGAAUGACCAACCUCACUCUGAGAUAUCUUCCUUCUUGAAAGUUAUUUGGUUUUUUUAUAUGAUAUCCACAGUGUCUCUAGAUUUGUAAUUCAAUACACAAAUUAAUCGAUUAUGUGAAACGUAAAACAUAAAACUCGAAAUUAUUUCGCAAAUGAGUGAAAACGUUCAUAAUUAUAUAUGUUAUAUUAUAUCAUUUCGAUUUGGAAUUUUAACUUGGAGUUUUAUAUGCUGUAAUGGCAUGUGUACUAAUCCGUAAUUGAAAUCAAAAUAAGGAGUUGAAUUCCUACAUGAAGUACUCCUAUGUUUACUUCACAUAGAGGAAUAAAAAUGUAAGUGGGGUCUACACAAAAUCAGGAAUUCAACUUCUGAUUUUGGAGGAAUUGAACUCUUAGGUGGAAGGUGGUAUUCUAAUUCCUGGAUAACUAACCCAUCUAGAGUCUAUCUAUUUUACCCAUUAUAUCCUCACACAAUUUUUAAAAUUCCAAAUUUGUCAUCUAUUUUAACCCCAUAACAAGAGCAUUUUAGUAAUCAAAUUGGAUUUCAAUUCCGAUUCAUGGUAAUUUAGUAAAUAGCUUAUAAGGAAUCAGUAUCACUCCUACCCCAAUUUCAUAUAGUUUAGUAAACAACUUCAUAGGAAUCCGGAUUCUAACUCUCCUCAAUUCAAAUCAUCUUCAAUUCAAUUCAUUCUCAUCUGAUUACGGAUUAGUAAAUAUGAAAUAAACGUAUAUGCCGAUUAUAUAACAGACAACGAAUUUGUGUUGGAUCUAGGAAUAAUAACUAGGAAAUUAAGAAACUAUAAUUGGCAACAUAUGGCACAAUGUGUGCAUACAUAUUGAGUGUGGAAAAGUGUAGGAAGUAAUGCGCAUAAUUGUACAACCACAUCACAUGAAUAUACAUCUAAAUUGCCAUAGAAAAUUCGAACAUAAGAAUAGUUGCCCACAUGACAUACGGAAUAUAUUUGAAUUGGAAUUAAAGUAGAAAAGGUCUUAGAAAGUUGGUGAGUUUUGUUAUUUACUGGACUGUCGUUUGUCAAGUCCAUGUAGAGACAAUUAAAUGAUUGCCAUUGUUUAUUCUAAAAAGUCUGAUUGAUGAUGGAUGACCAAGGUGACAACAUAUACAGUUGAAUAUUUAGAUACCCCUCCGCGUACAAGCCGUGUCCACUAUUAAGAAAUUGCCUCAUCGAUUGUAUUUAAAAGUUGGUAUGAUAAGUUGGUGUUUCUAGCAUUAUUGUUUACGUAGAUUAAUUUUCAUAUUUAUAAAGGAUCAUGUCACACAUAUAAUGCUUGAAAGUGUAAUGGAUGGCUAGCUUGACUUAGAUAUCGCGUAAUGGAUGGCUAGCUUGACUUAGAUAUCGCAAAUGUGGAGAUUGUAGGGGUUGUAUGUAUCAAUUCAAGUCAUGGAUGUGUAUAGACAUAACUCCACAUUAGAAAAAAUCCACAACAAUCUAAAUGCAGGGUUGCUCAAUACUAAGAGUAACAAAAUGUUUUCGAACAUGUAUUGGACUUGGAUAGUUAGGUUAGAAACAAUAAUAAUGUUGAAUAAAAUUUAACAAUGAUCGAUCUAUUUCAUAACACACAUAAUAUGACAAGUGUACCUAUUAGAAUGGUGGUUUGGUUGAAGUUGAUGAUUUAGCUCUUAAAAUGAUCGAUUUCAUUUUCAAAAAUCUCAUAAAAUGCCUUUGAUUAAUUAAUAUGCUAAAAGAGAUCAUCAUUUAUUAUAUAAGGUAAAAUAAAGAAAAUAUAACUAGUAUGUGUUGCAAAGAAUAUAGUCUGGUGCCUCAAUGGCAGAGGUUCGAAAUCUGUUAGAAACACUUUGUAAUCAAGACAAGCCGAAUUCCGAACAUGGAUUAAUCCUACCCUUUAAAUGUGAGAACAGCUCAUAACAUCUACCAUAUAUAUAUAUAUAUAUCCAUAACAUUACUUUAUCACUUCAUCCUCGUAUCAUGGGUGGUCGGCUACUAGAUUUAAGAUAACGAGAGGCGAGGCUAUUGAUAAUCUUGGCUUCUAGCAUCAUGUAACUUCAUUGCCUUGUCGGUUUGGCACUACAUUAUCUAGUAGAGCCACAUGUCAUUGCCAUCAAAAUCAACCAUCGCAUUCAAGUCCCCAUGCUUUAUAAUUUGUGGGUCUUUGCUUUUAUUAUGAUUAUAUUGUAUUUUAUCAAUAUAUUAGAUAAAUAUUCUUAAAGAAAGAAUUCAAAAUUUUAAUUCAGAAAUUUAAUUACGAAAAAAUAAUAUAUUAAAUUUAGAUUUUUAAUGUGUUUUCUUUAUUUACUUCAAAGGAUAAAAGUCAAAGAACAUGCAUCUGAAAAUAAAAAAUGUGACUUACCCAAUGACAGCUAAUCGUUUUGGACCUAAGAUCGUUUAUAAACUUCAUAUUUGAUAUAUUGCGGGGUUUGUAGGUAAGGUAAUUAAGAGCACUUAUCCUUACACCCGAAGUCAUAUGUUCAAGCUUCUUGCCUCCAAAAAUAGCUUGUAUAAAAAAUAAAAUAAAAAAGAACAUAUUUGAUGUAGGUUGUUUUCUUAGUCAAAAGUAUAUAUCCACAUUUGGAUAGUAAAGCCCAAUUAGUUUAGUACCACGACAUUAAUGAUAGUAGCUCUUAAAGAAGCCCAAGAAGAUCGACCUUGUCUCCCAACACUCUAUUGUACAUUACAUGUAAUUGGGAAGAGCUCUCAUUACAUCCAUUUGCAAAUUUUUAGCUCUUAAAGUCAUGUAAUUGUGAAUGACCUUUGCAUAAAUAUGUAAACAAGGAUUAAAUUGAUGGAGGCUUGUCAAUAACCACUCUAAUUGGAUUUACAUGACUUUGGUCAUGUGUAAAAUUGACGGCGACUGUCGCUUCAAUUUUGCAAGAUGUUUGUGAGUAGUUGGGGGAUCCAUUUCUUAUGGGUGUGAACACUCCCCUGCUUUUGCAAGAAAAGAAAGGGGAAAGUGAUAGAAAACUUUACUAGUUGACUUGUUUAUCUUGGAUAGUUCCUAGUUGCCAAGUUACAACUUGCUUCUGUACGAACUAUUUGCUGCAAACUGCAGUUUAUGUGUCAAGUUGUAGAAUCGUUUUUUCAUUUUCCUUUUUCUUUUCCUUUUUUUUUUUUUUCAGUACAAGUAAUAGUCUAAACUAUAGCAAAUGGAGAAUUUCUCACACAUACACAACUAAGAUGUCAUGAGGGUUGGAACCUGAAACCUCUUAUCCCGUUGGCUCCUCCCUCUUCCAUAUGUUUGCUUCACAUGUGCAACGUCUAAAAUCUUUCUUUGUUGGGUAUAGGAUGUAAAAAUGAUUUGUUGGGCCUAGAUCUUUUU
rnacentral:lncRNA from 1 species